rnacentral:lncRNA from 8 species
AUGCCUUUAGGAAAAUCCACAAAGACAAUAUCCAGGGUGACUAUGGACACGGUGACCAUGCAGGUAGGACCAGGAGUAGCAAGCCAUGAAGACCCAGCAGGGAAUACAAAGCCUGUGAAGGCCAUCUACUACUCAAAGGCCAAGGGCGAAGAACCAGAGAGUGGAAAGAAUAGGAGUGGACCAGGCUCUGUAACAGUCAAAGGCACCAAUGGAACCAAAGAGGACCUAUCUGUUACAACCAGUAAAAGACCACUUGUCAACACAAAAUACAGGGUUGUACAUAAACCAGGUGAUAGAAUAACCUUGCCCAGGAAGCCAUACAUUGGAGACUCUAUCCGUUUUAAUGGUACAAGUGUAAGCCAGGGUGGGAGGAGAGUGGGUCACAGUCUUCUGAAAAAGCCUUCAAGCAGAAAUCCAUUGGUGGGGCCAAAGGUCAAGAAGACCUUAAAAACUGACACUAAAACAGAAAAUCCCAUUGUUGGGGACAGGACUAUAGCUAUAACUGUGAAAAACACUAAGCUGAAGACAAGUCCUCUUGGAGAAAAAGAUGGAACUUCGGCAAAGACAUAUCCUGUUGGAAUCCUUCCUGAAAAUGCCACUCCGAGUUCUGGUUCUGAACAACCAACAGUGAUUCCCGACUUAAAGGACCUACCUGAUAGAAAAAUGGGUACAGAGACUGAAACAAACGAGCCAAGCCAAGGGACAGAUGGCUUGGAGCCUACAACCACAUCAGAAACAAAUACUACUGUUCACCUGAACGGGAAGAAAUGUGUCAACAAGAUUAAAUUGACACACAGGAAAGUGGGAUUGUUUGGAACCAAACAAAACGAGACAACGACUCUGACAGUGGGCAGCACACCACCCUUACGCCAUCUACCUCCAAAGGGGACCCAACAACGCCGCUCACACCCAAAUAUGGGACCAUUCCAAAACAGGACACGAACAAACCUGAGACCCCCUCAGCAUCCAUCACGAGGUCCCAUACGCAGACCUUUCCAACCUAAACUGACAAACAGGGACAACGGCAUCAUCGUUCACACCACUCAACCGGACGAGCAGGGCACCUACAGCACCAGCCAGAAUGACACAAACACAGACCUUAAGCCCAAAACUCUCAUCAAGAGAACAAAUGCCACAGCUGGUAAAAUAGCAGAAGGUCGGACAUAUAUUAGAAAUAACGGUAGCUUGAGCCAAAGGAGCCAAGAUUCAAAAACAGGUCAUCAUGACAAAGGGAGCCAAUUGAGUAAGACUGCUGAUUCAACAGACAGACCAAACCAGAUAAAUGGAUCACAUGCCACUACUACUGGAAAAACAGGCCAGCCUCUAAACUCAGUGGGGGUUCAAAGCGUAACCUCAGGAGGGUUCGUAAUUGUUUGA